UACGUAGGAUCCAAGCGUUGUCCGGAUUUACUGGGUGUAAAGGGUGCGCAGGCGGACUUAUAAGUCAGGGGUGAAAUCUUACUGCUCAACAGUGAAACUGCCUUUGAUACUGUAGGUCUUGAAUUAGGGAGCGAGUCGUGGAAUUCCGAGUGUAGCAGUGAAAUGUGUAGAUAUUCGGAAGAACACCAGCGGCGAAGGCAGCGACUUGGCCCUAUAUUGACGCUCAGGCACGAAAGCAUGGGGAUCAAACAGGG
rnacentral:rRNA from 1 species